GACGAACGCUGGCGGCGUGCUUAACACAUGCGAGUCGAACGGAAAGGCCCUGCUUUUGUGGGGUGCUCGAGUGGCGAACGGGUGAGUAACACGUGAGUAACCUGCCCUUGACUUUGGGAUAACUUCAGGAAACUGGGGCUAAUACCGGAUAGGAGCUCCUGCUGCAUGGUGGGGGUUGGAAAGUUUCGGCGGUUGGGGAUGGACUCGCGGCUUAUCAGCUUGUUGGUGGGGUAGUGGCUUACCAAGGCUUUGACGGGUAGCCGGCCUGAGAGGGUGACCGGCCACCGUGGGGAUGAGGUACGGCCCAGACUCCUACGGGGAGCCAGAGUGGGGAAUAAUGCACAAAGGGCGGAAGGCGGGAGCAGGAACGCCGGGGGGGGGAAUACGGGCUUCGGGGUGGAAACCGCCUUCGCCUGUGACGGAGGGUGAGUGACGGUAAUGGGUUAAGAAGCACCGGCUAACUACGUG
rnacentral:rRNA from 1 species